GACGAACGCUGGCGGCGUGCCUAAUACAUGCAAGUCGAGCGAGCGGCGGACGGGUGAGUAACACGUAAGGAACCUACCGAUAAGCGGGGGACAACAUCCGGAAACGGGUGCUAAUACCGCAUACUUCUCGAUGGCCUUGCGGUGCAUUAGCUCGGUGGUGGGGUAACGGCCUACCAAGGCAAUGAUGCAUAGCCGACCUGAGAGGGUAAUCGGCCACAGUGGGACUGAGACACGGCCCAAACUCCUACGGGAGGCAGCAGUAGGGAAUCUUCGGCAAUGGGCGCAAGCCGGACGGAGCAACGCCGCGUGAGUGAAGAAGGUUUUCGGACCGUAAAGCUCUGUUGUAAGAGAAGCGGUAUCUAACCAGAAAGCCACGGCUAACUACGUGCCAGCAGCCGCGGUAAUUC
rnacentral:rRNA from 1 species